AUUGAACGCUGGCGGCAGGCUUAACACAUGCAAGUCGAGCGGGCGAGGUUGCUUCGGUAACUGAGCUAGCGGCGGACGGGUGAGUAAUGCUUAGGAAUCUGCCUAUUAGUGGGGGACAACAUUCCGAAAGGAAUGCUAAUACCGCAUACGCCCUACGGGGGAAAGCAGGGGAUCUUCGGACCUUGCGCUAAUAGAUGAGCCUAAGUCAGAUUAGCUAGUUGGUGGGGUAAAGGCCUACCAAGGCGACGAUCUGUAGCGGGUCUGAGAGGAUGAUCCGCCACACUGGGACUGAGACACGGCCCAGACUCCUACGGGAGGCAGCAGUGGGGAAUAUUGGACAAUGGGGGGAACCCUGAUCCAGCCAUGCCGCGUGUGUGAAGAAGGCCUUUUGGUUGUAAACCUCUUUCAGUGCUGACGAAGCCCCCCUUUUGGGGGGUGACGGUAGGUGCAGAAGAAGCGCCGGCUAACUACGUGCCAGCCGCCGCCGUAAAAC
rnacentral:rRNA from 1 species